rnacentral:rRNA from 1 species
GACGAACGCUGGCGGCGUGCUUAACACAUGCAAGUCGAACGAAGUGGCGAACGGGUGAGUAACGCGUCAUCAACCUGCCCUUCAGAGGGGGACAACAGUUGGAAACGACUGCUCAUACCGCAUACUGACGGCGGGGAUUGCGUUUGAUGAGCUAGUUGGCGGGGUAACGGCCCACCAAGGCGAUGAACAGUAGCAGGUCUGAGAGGAUGAACGGCCACAUUGGGUCUGAGACACGGCCCAGACUCCUACGGGAGGCAGCAGUGGGGAAUCUUCCGCAAUGGACGAAAGUCGGACGGAGCAACGCCGCGGGAGUGAUGACGGCCGUCGGGUUGUAAAGCUAUGUUAAUCGGGACGAGGUACCGGAAUAGAAAGCCACGGCUAACUACGUGCCAGCAGCCGCGGUAAUUC